AAGCAAGCCAAUAUCAUCGCUGUAACAAAGAGGAUUUCAAGAAAAAAGUCAAUGCCACUCAGCAAAAGCUGAUCCUACACCAUGCUAUGCCACCUCUGACUAAAUGGACUGCAUGAUUUCCCCAGUUCCAGAGGCUACCAUGAUGUCAACCUGACUUCCCUGGGCAGAGGACCCCACCAAUAUGUCCUGGAACCCCGCCUCCUGAGAGCCCCACCUCACUAAGGAAAGAGACAGGCUGGGAGUAUGGAUCCACCUGCCAAUGCCCAUGUUCAGUGGGGAAGCAAUUACAGAAGUCAGACGUCCACCUUCUGCACCCCAUAAUGACCCUGGGUCCAUACUCCCAGAGGGAUAAAGAACAGGAAAGCUCUCAGGGAAGAAAAUGAGAUGUGGAGCUCUGGUGGUGGGAAUUGUGUGGAGUUGUACCCCUCUUACCUUAUGGUCUUGUCAGUGUUUCCAUUUUAUAAAUAAAAAUUAAAA